UUCUAUUCCCGAUCUUCUCCUUCUACCUCUUACGCUACACCUCCGGUUAUUUAAAGUACACGUCAGGCCUGUAGGAAAGUUUCGCAUCGAGGCGAAAGGGGACGACACACGACGACGUCGACGUCGUGAUGACGAAGGCGAGGGGUUCGAGUUGGUUGACCCCUGCGCCUGUCGACCCUCUCGUGUGUCGGAUAUCUUGAAAAUCUCGUGGGUCAGGGCGUGGUGGCGAGCCGGCCCGCAAUCAGGUUGACCUGGCAUGCCACGAACUUCCUCUUCCUCCCCCCCUCUCCUCCCCCCAUCGCUCGGUCGUCCGUCGCUCGUUCAUUCACUUCGCCGUACGCAUUCACCACCACCGAGACUUACCCCCUCCUCCCUCCUCUCACGCUCUGCCAUUCCGAUUAGCUGCAAAUAAUACCCGUAACAAUAGCCGUUGCUCCAUACAUCCUCGUUCUCCUCGCAACUUGUACCCUCUGUUCAUAAACCCGCGCGCUCGCGUUCUUAACGCGUGUACACGUACCCGCGUGUUUAUCGCGGCCAUGUACGGCUGGAUGUGUAUGUAUCUGUGUG